CCUACGGGUGGCAGCAGUGAGGAAUAUUGGUCAAUGGACGAGAGUCUGAACCAGCCAAGUAGCGUGAAGGAUGACUGCCCUAUGGGUUGUAAACUUCUUUUAUAUGGGAAUAAAAUGUUCCACGUGUGGGAUUUUGUAUGUAACAUAUGAAUAAGGAUCGGCUAACUCCGUGCCAGCAGCCGCGGUAAUACGGAGGAUCCGAGCUGUUACCGGAUUUAUUGGGUUUAAAGGGAGCGUAGGUGGAUUGUUAAGUCAGUUGUGAAAGUUUGCGGCUCAACCGUAAAAUUGCAGUUGAAACUGGCAGUCUUGAGUACAGUAGAGGUGGGCGGAAUUCGUGGUGUAGCGGUGAAAUGCUUAGAUAUCACGAAGAACUCCGAUUGCGAAGGCAGUUCACUGGACUGCAACUGACACUGAGGCUCGAAAGUGUGGGUAUCAAACAGGAUUAGAUACCCGAGUAGUC
rnacentral:rRNA from 1 species